rnacentral:rRNA from 1 species
ACCAGACUCCUACGGGAGGCAGCAGUGAGGAAUAUUGGUCAAUGGCCGAAGGGCUGAACCAGCCAAGCCGCGUGAAGGAAUAAGGCCCUACGGGUCGUAAACUUCUUUAGUCAGGGAACAAAGGGAGCCACGCGUGGCGCUGUGAGUGUACCUGAAGAAUAAGCAUCGGCUAACUCCGUGCCAGCAGCCGCGGUAAUACGGAGGAUGCGAGCGUUAUCCGGAUUUAUUGGGUUUAAAGGGUGCGCAGGCGGCCUGUUAAGGCAGGGGAAAAGCCCGGGGGCUCACCCCGGGCGAGCCGUUGAAACUGGCGGGCUGGAGUUGGAGAGAAGUACGCGGAAUGCGCGGUGUAGCGGUGAAAUGCUUAGAUAUCGCGCAGAACCCCGAUUGCGAAGGCAGCGUACCGGCUCCACACUGACGCUGAAGCACGAAAGCGUGGGUAUCGAACAGGAUUAGAUACCCUUGUA